UUUCAAUUGACAUAUUGGUAGGCUUGCAUUACCCCAUACAAUAACGAUCAUAAAAAUUAUAUUAUUUUUGCUUCUUUACAAAAUGUAAUCAGACAAUACAAUGGAUUAUUUUAAAAUAAUACUUUAUUCAAAUCGUAUUUAGAUGUGAAAAUAACCAACCCUAUGUUAUUAAUCGCGUUAAAUGUGUCACUCAUUGGAAGACAAACAAAUUCCACUUUUGCUUACUUGUCCAGUCAUCCUGGUACUUUCCAAUUUAGCCUAUUUAAUUGUGGAUAUGGGAACGGAUAGAGUAGCCAAUGUCCUACACCGCAAAGAUGGCAUGGAUUCAAAUCAAAGUAGAGUCCUUGAUAUGAACGAGAUUCAUCAAAGACAAUUAAAUGUGUAUUAAGUCCUUAUCUAUUUUAAAAUCAAAAAGAUGGAUCACCAAUAGCAUGCUAAUUGAGUUAAUAACUCAUUGUUGCCAUUUACUUUGAUCUAUAAUGGUCAUUUAUCUCUGGUAGACCACCGGACAACGGCAGGUUGAAUCAACGUUGCUUCCAUGUCAUUUAAACAACAAAAUGUGGGUGACGUUGAAUGAAGGUGGAAAAGCUGUCAACAUAAGCGAUUUUUUUUUACCCAACGUUUAACCUAAAUUCAAUGACAUGGUGACAUUUUGUUGAUUUUACAUUGAAUGAAAAUAAGUUGACAGCUCAACCAAAAACGGUCUUUAAACUGACGUCUGUGCCCAGUGAGAAACGAGUUCACCUGCUCAUCCAAUGCUUCAGAGGUAGGCUAUGCGAGCAUGCAGGCUAAUCUGAACAUUUUAAAAAGGUAAAAUAUAGGCCAUACGGUGAUUUCGCGAUUUAAGUUACUAUAAAACUGUCUAAAUCAUUUUUAGGCUACCUCGAAUGUUUGAGAGGUAUUGACUUGACAACAGGUGAGUUGAUUUCCGUGAAAUUAUCUUUUGUCAAUCUGUUUUAAAUGAAUUAUACUUGAUAAUUUCUUAUCCGUGCAGAUAGCGGUAGUCUAUAUGCUAAAAUCCCUGUGGCAGAAAGAGGUGGCAAGACCAGGAAAUGACAAGUGCUGAAGCACAGUCACAUUUGUGCAGCCCACACACAUGCAUAUUCAACAUUAUUUUUUUUAGAAUUAAAUAAUUGUUUUGUGAAUGUGAAUUUUUCAGAUUUUAGGCCAAGUAUGGUAAUCAUAAAUCAUAUAGAACGUAUUUUCUUGAUAAAUGGCCUUGUCUUGAUUCUGUCUGAUAGGCGAUCUUGCUUCGUCAAGAUGUAGGGUUAGGCAAUUGUUUUGUAGACCACUUUUUAAAAAUCUGAUUGGCUAUAGCCUAAUGUCAUUUAUCAACUAUUUAAUUUGAAUACCAUUUUGCUCUUUCAUUUUUUUUGUUAGGCCUAGGCUACAUCAAAGUUUUCAGCCUAGCACAAUUGUAGCAUCGGCUAUAAUGCUCAUUGUUAAAAUAUGUUCAGCUCGGAUAAAAUCUUAGUUGUCUGCUUUCCGUAAUGCAUCUGUUGAAUGAGCCAUAUAAUAAACGAAUUGUAUUGUGGUGGAUGGCUCUUUUCGGUCUUUUUCCUAGAUGUAGCCCCAUGCAAAUAACCAAACCGCUCAAUCUUGUGGACCUUUCAAAGGGUAUGGUUAUGACCUACUGCACUCAAAUUUCUUCCAUUCCAACCACGUUCCCAUUAUCAUGACUGCACAGAGAAACAUUCGAUAACAAAAAUAGCAAUAAUGACUUCGGUCUUUCUAUUGAAACUUGCAUGUCUCGGGACCAUAAAUACAUAGGCCUAUAUUCACAAAAUGUUUUUCCAUUUUCUGUACCACUAUCGCUUGUGCUGGUAUAUAGCAUGAAAAGGGAAUCUUUCCAGCUCGGGUCUGUUGAAUUCCAGCUUAUUGCAGAGCAAUGGGACAAGCAGCUGUGCUCCCGGGGCUCUUGGAAAGGCAGCCACUCAAGCCACUCACAGGAGGGAUCCAGACCACCUGGCUCCUGUCCUGGCCAGCCCAGCUUCCAUCUCCCAGCCAGGGGAAGAUGGGGCUGCCGUUAAAGACUCACACUAUAGCCGGGGUGGGGGAUGGGGAAGAGUGAUCGUCGACCUCUGACCCUCAGUACUCUCCCAGUGUGUCCCGAUGGACACCAUAACACACAACACAGACAAAUCUAUGGAAUCUAUGAACAAAGUACAUUUUCAGUGCAAUGCAACAACAAAAAAAUUGAUCCAACGCCAUUGAGUUAUGUUGCAUCAUGUAUUUAACAGGAUAUAUUUCCCUACACCAUGUCAAAAAAAGAAAAGAAAAAAUACUUUAAGAGAACAUUCGUGUGUUGAACAUGAUGAACAAUGGGUCCUACAUCUGGGUAUAUUUAAUCCACAAUAAAAGCCUGGCUCUGUU